rnacentral:rRNA from 1 species
GAUGAACGCUGGCGGCGUGCCUAAUACAUGCAAGUAGAACGCUGAAGCUUGGUGCUUGCACCGAGCGGAUGAGUGGCGAACGGGUGAGUAACGCGUAGGUAACCUGCCUCUUAGCGGGGGAUAACUAUUGGAAACGAUAGCUAAUACCGCAUCAAAGUCGAUAUCGCAUGAUAUUGAUUUGAAAGGGGCAAUUGCAUCACUAAGAGAUGGACCUGCGUUGUAUUAGCUAGUUGGUGAGGUAACGGCUCACCAAGGGAACGAUACAUAGCCGACCUGAGAGGGUGAUCGGCCACACUGGGACUGAGAAACGGCCCAGACUCCUACGGGAGGCAGCCGUAGGGAAUCUUCGGCAAUGGGGGCAACCCUGACCGAGCAACGCCGCGUGAGUGAAGAAGGGUUUCGGAUCGUAAAGCUCUGUUGUAAGAGAAGAACGAGUGUGAGAGUGGAAAGUUCACACUGUGACGGUAACUUACCAGAAAGGGACGGCUAACUACGUG